rnacentral:rRNA from 1 species
AUGGCUAUGGCUAUUCUAUCGAGGUUUAAUUCUAUGGUACACAUAAUAGUUUGCUGUAAGCGUGAAGCACAGGCAUACAGAAAUAGGCUUACAGAAUCCUGUGGUACUGUUUUGGCUGCUGCUCCUAACAAAGCAUCAUUCCUCCAAAAUCUCUGCCAAGAGUUACAGUUUGAUACUGAACUUGCUAGCAAGAUGCAUGAAGAUACCAACUACACACUUGUUUUUUGUAUUGCAUCAUUAGUUUUACAUAAUAGUUCUAUGUUAGCUCAAAAUUUGAUCUUGAUCCUACUAGGAAGAUGUAUACCAUAUUAG